GGCCCUCCAGCUCUCUUCUCUUCUCUUCGUUGGAGUCGCUGAGAGAAGGAAAGCCUCCUCUCCUUCAUCGCAGCCCUCUCUCUCUCUCUCUCUCUCUCUCUCUUCUCUCUUCCUUUCUCUCCUCCGCUGCGAACGUUUCGUUCGCUCUGAAAUUUCUUCAUCGUUCUCAUCAUUUCUUCCUUUUUCAUUCCAUCGUUCUUUGUUUCAGCCUUUCUCGCACUUCUUUUCCAGUGAAAUGACUUGGUUAAUUAGCUUCUGCUCUUCCCGUUUGCUCUCCUCUCCUUCGAUUGUAACGACUUGGAGCCUUCGUUCUAUCAGAUGCUGAGUUCGCUUCUAACCAGGUUGGUUGGCCUUGCAAUGGUGGGAGAGGUCGGUCUACUGUUUGGAGAUUAUCUGGAGGCUUCGACUUUAUAGGAGUGGCGUGUGUCGGUCUUCUUCUUUAGAUCAAACUCCAGCUUUCUCUCUGUUUCAAUCUCUUUCUCUCACUGAUUUCUGCUAGGGACUGGAAUGGAUACGCAGGAUACAUCUCCUUCAGUGUUGCUAUUCUUUAACAAGCAAAGAUUUAUAUUUAAUGUUGAAGAGGUGGUCUUUCGUUGCUUUGGAUAGAGCAGUUUGGUAGGUGUUUUCAGUUCUAUUAAGCAAGGGGUGAGUUUAUAGGCUGAAAUUUCAAUUAAUGGUUUUAAGUUUUGCGAAUCGAGCAUAGGAAUUAGCUAAUGGCAUCAAUUGACAAUUGGUUGGUGUUAAUUUAUUGUUGUAAUGAUAGGUUUAGAUGAUUACAAUAUUUGAACAUGUUGGUAAAUCCAUUUGAGUGUUUUGGCAAUUGGGUA